UACGGGGGGGGCAAGCGUUGUUCGGAAUUACUGGGCGUAAAGGGCGCGUAGGCGGCCUGCUAAGUCACACGUGAAAUCCCUCGGCUCAACCGGGGAACUGCGUGUGAUACUGGCGGGCUUGAAUUCGGGAGAGGGAUGUGGAAUUCCAGGUGUAGCGGUGAAAUGCGUAGAUAUCUGGAGGAACACCGGUGGCGAAGGCGGCAUCCUGGACCGGCAUUGACGCUGAGGCGCGAAAGCCAGGGGAGCAAACGGG
rnacentral:rRNA from 1 species